rnacentral:lncRNA from 1 species
UGUAGAAAUCGGAAGGGGAUGCUCUGCUUGUGUAUGUAUAUAGUAACCGAAGAUUGCGUUACAUAUAUUGUAUAAGCAAUGUGAGCAUGAAGAUGGUGAAACUGAACAUCAAUGUUAAGAGAAGAACAAACUAUGACUCUUGUAUAUUGAUAUGGAGUAUUCAGCUUGCAGAGUUACAUAAGAAGAUAGCAUACUUAUACAGAAAAGACAAGUAGUAAAAGUCUACACUAAUAAAUGGAAGAACGGCUAGAACGGCUAUUAACUGUAAAGCCACAAAGUCAUGGCUGCUAUGAUCUAGGUGUUGACAAUCUUGUGCUAAUAUGAACUGCUGACUUUAACACCCCCCCUCAAACUGAAGAUGGUUGAAGAACCAACUUGAGUUUGUAAACAAAAUCACUGAAAGUGGUAGGAUGAUAAGCUUUUACAGUUGAGACACAAUGUAGAUGAAUCGUGUCUCUUGAAAACUUCUUGACAAUCAAUCUUCCGUUUUCACGGUUUGUCCCAAGAACAUGUCAUGUCUGAACAACCCGAAGUGACAGUGAAUGCGGUGGAAGAAUCAAUUUUAGAUAAAACCUGUUUGAGCAAAGAUUCAAGCUCAUUAGUUGAUGUAGUUGGCGGUGUAGAAUCUGAGGUUACAUCAACGGAAGGAUGGGAGAGCUUGUUUGACCCAGAAGAUGGCUUUUUACAAAAUUGUGCUGAGUGACCCUUUUGAUGACAAUUUUGGCAGGUAUGAUUGCGAAGUGUUACACACUCCUUGAUAAAAUGUCCAUUUUGUCGACAAAAUUUACAAAAUGGUUUAUCAAAUGUGGAGGUGGAUGAUGAAGGUAUUGCUAGGACCAUGUCUUCCACAAGACUACCUUUACCGAUGUCAAGUCGAGUUUCUUCCGAAAUGAGUUCAGCAACAGCACUCUCAAAAGAAGGCAGCGGAAUACGAUGAAGCAAAGCAGCUCUAACAGGUUCAAAAUCCUGUGUCAAAGCCAUUAGAAACUGGAUGAGCCGUUGUUGGUCACGGUAUGUAUGAUAGAGUGUUCCAUCUUCUGUGUGUAACCACUUUGGUUCAGACAAUGUCAACUGAUCCCAAAGUGAUUGUAACUGUGACAGAAACUCAGCAACUGGUUGACCGGACUCUUGUUUCCGUUUACUGAGAGAACAAAUAAUCUGAUAUUGAUGGGCAAGAUCAGAUGUAGUGUAACGAGAUUCCAACAAAUCCCAAAUUUCUUUUGCGGUGUCAAAGUUUCCAAACUGUAAAUUAAUUUUAGAAACAACAGAGUUUCUAAAAUAUGUAAUAGUUUGAUGAUUUUUGACAUCCCAUUCCUCAAUACGAUCUUUCAAAUGUGAAUCAGAUUCAUCUUUCUCUUUCGUAGGAAUCGUGAAAUCCCCAUUAACGUACCUCCAAAGACGUUUUCCCUUGAGAAAGCUACGCAUAGCUUGAGACCAAGAUAAAUAAUUCGAGCCGAUUAAGAUUGUUUGAAUCGGGGAACUAUUUUCUCUUUCCAUUUUCACUAGUGAAGGGGCUUGAGUGAAAAACUUGCAACUUUAGGAAUUUUAUUGCAAAGAUAUAGAAGUAUAGGGGUUUAGAAAUAAGCCAAGAAAACAACAAGGUUCAACUUAGAAUAUUUGAAAAGGAUCAGGUACUAAUGUGAAUGUUUGGCUAGAAAAGAAAACUUGCGUGUUCAUUUAAGUGGGUUGAAUUUGUGAGGCCCAAAUAACCAAAUAAAGUAAACACAGUAUACUGCAGUGCCAGCCCAGAACAAACACUACAAGUCUUGUAGGCAACGUUUAUAUAGAAAAGCCGAGUGAACUAAGGCGGCUGUCUAGAUAAACACAAUGAGUGCUGAGACGGAAACAAUGGUGGAUAGUGAUGAUACUUACAGGGAUGAGAUUCGCCGGACGGAAAAGGAUGGCUGGGCGGAGGAGAUGAGUGAGUCGACUCGGUGGGCUGACUCGGUGAGUUUAAAACGAGUUGGGUAACUCGGUUGGUGGAUUCAAAACAGGAAGGUGAAAUCAGAAUUUUGAUUUUGGCCUGGGUUGUUUGAAAAACGUAUGCUUAGUUGCUGUUUUGUGGAUGGUAAUAUGAACCCAGCAGGUGUUUGUAUAUUUGUCUCAAAGAGACGAUGAAGAGAAAGCUCGCAAGCUUGAUAUUGGUGACAGCGGAACGAGAAGAUCAGGAAGCCUAUAGCUCUGAUACCAUGUAGAAAUCGGAAGGGGAUGCUCUGCUUGUGUAUGUAUAUAGUAACCGAAGAUUGCGUUACAUAUAUUGUAUAAGCAAUGUGAGCAUGAAGAUGGUGAAACUGAACAUCAAUGUUAAGAGAAGAACAAACUAUGACUCUUGUAUAUUGAUAUGGAGUAUUCAGCUUGCAGAGUUACAUAAGAAGAUAGCAUACUUAUACAGAAAAGACAAGUAGUAAAAGUCUACACUAAUAAAUGGAAGAACGGCUAGAACGGCUAUUAACUGUAAAGCCACAAAGUCAUGGCUGCUAUGAUCUAGGUGUUGACAAUCUUGUGCUAAUAUGAACUGCUGACUUUAACAGUUAUAAACAAUAUUAAAUGUAGUAAUCUGGUGAUAUAG